AUGACUUUAUUGAAAAUCAAAAGUCAAUUAAUCCAUAUAAAUACACUGCCCUAUCUAACCAUCAUUUCAUAUCAAUCAGCUCUAAUGGCUACGUCAGAUAAUUAUCGAAGCUCUCUCAUGGCGACUGUUCUCUUGGUUAUCAUGGUUUUGCCCUUAAUGCAAACACCAGUUGAUGCAGCUAGGUUUGCACAUCAAGGUAUAAUUGAGGUGAGGUUGAAGGAAGAACCAAUGUGUCCUCAAUGCAUGUGUUGCUCAGCUGCACCACCUGGUUCAUGCUGCAAGUGUUGCGCUGAUUCUGCUCAACCUCUUCAUAGUCACAUGCCAUAGGGCUACAUGAAUGUGUGGUGUUGUGUUGGAACAGUUUAUAAAAUGGAACGAAAUUUUUGUCUUAAAUUUAAUUUGUUCCAGCACGUUGUUUAUAAAAUGAAAAAAAUAACUUUCAGCAAAUUCAUCUACAAAUUCAACCUAUCCGUUUUUCUGAAAAAGAUACCCUGUUUUUAUUUUAAUUUUGCUUCAUCACCUAAAAAUACUUCAUCAUUUCAAUUUGUUUCGUUUAUGACUAAGCUUUUAAAAUCUUAAAUUUUAACCAAUUUUUCAUUUUUUUUAGUUUCAAUUACAGCCAAUUACUCAAAUUAAAGUGGAAAAAAAAUUAAAUAUGUCGUUCAUAUUGCUUCGUAUUAUUUUAAUUUAUCAUUUUACCAUCAAAAAUUCCAAACAUGAAAUAAUAUGAAACGUAUAUUGAAUUUUUUUCCACUCAAAUUUGAGUAAUGGGCUAUAAUUGAAAUUUAAAAAUAAAAAAUGAGUUAAAAUUAAAGAUUUUGAAAGUUUGGACUUUAAACGAAAAAAAUCAAAAAAUUUGGGUAUUUUUAGACUAUUAAACCUUUUAACCCUUUUGGCAAAAAAAAAAAAAAAAUUAACCCUUAGCCCUGAUAACUUUUUAUUUCAAAGGUUAGAAAAAUUAUACUCUCAAUCUCUUAAACAGAGUCCAUUACUUUUGGGAUAAUUUUCCUAAUUUUUAUUCUUUUUCUUUUCCUCAUAGGAGCUUAAAAUCGGCCAAAAAUUGCCGAUUAUGGAUUCCCAUCCAUGUUAUUGCUCAUAUUUUUUCUUGUCUUUAUACAAUCACGGAGCAGGUUAAAAAUGGUGGCAAUCUACCAUAGAAAACAAAGAAUAAGGACAAUCAAUCAAUUUUAUCAACUAUUAGUAAAAAAUAUGAGCUUCAACUUGGCGUUACAAUCUAUAAACAAUAAUCAUAUAUAUAUAUAAAUAAACGUAUAUACAUACCCGUCGCGAGUUACAUAUUAAUCUCCGUUAAAAGUUAAUUAAUUAGAUAGUGUAAUCAUGGAAAUAACUACCUACCGAAGGUCAUCUCUCAUGGCGAAGAUCCUCAUAAUUAUCAUGUUGUUACCGUUACUUGUGCCACACGGCAACGCAGCUAGGUCUUCGAUCCAUCCAGGUAUGAGUAGUAAUUCAGAUAGUUGUGAUUGUAAUAACCCCACAGAAGAUUGUAUUUGCCCUUGCUGCAAAUGUUGCGGUGGAGCUGCUUUUUUCAAACCACCACUGAAGGCUCAUAGUCAGCCAUAGUGAUUGUAUUGUUUUUUUUUUUAUUUUGAAUCAACUGAAUUAGCUCUUUGUUAAUUGCUAUUUCAAACUUAUAAAUAAAUCUUUACUAUUAAUUAAUCA